rnacentral:lncRNA from 1 species
AUAUUACCUAAUAAUGAGUUUAGCUACAACAAAGGAAAAUGAAACUCUUGGAGAAUAGGAGCCUCCAGCAAGUCAUCAAUUACAGUUCAGAUUUCCAGAUCCAGACACUGGUUCCUGCAGUUCAGAUUUCCCUACCCAGACACUGGUUCCUGCAGAAGUUUUAACUUGUGCGCUUCUGUUCCAGGAAGUUGUGAUUCUUAUUAUUCUC